rnacentral:lncRNA from 1 species
CUCGGGGCGCAGCCUGUGGCCCGGGUCCAGUCGGGCCCCGCCGACCCCGCCCGCCUGGCCCGCCCUCCCCUGCCGGCCGCCGCUAACACCCGGAGGAGCGGACUCCCGGCGCGCGGAGAGCCAGGCCGGCGCGGGCAGCGGACUGGGCAUGCUCGGCAGCCCGGAGGCUCGCGGUGGCAAGUCGGAAGCGUUCGCACCAGCGAGGCAGCGGCCGGGCGGCGGCGGCGGCCGCGGGCAGGACGGAGCGGGCAGGGCGGCCAGGAGAGGCAGCCGUCCCUCCGCGCACGGCGAGCCGGCGGGAGAGCGCGAUCCCGCUGCGGAGCCCCGACGCUGCCCUGCCCCGGAUUUCAGUGCGCGGCGUGGGGCUCGGCGAGCGGAAUUCCGGCGGCGGCCGCGACUCCGGUGCAAGGUGAGGGAGCAUGAACGGCCUUGA